UCAAGCGUCUUAAGGGCAUUUGGUGGAUGCCUUGGCACCAAGAGGCGAUGAAGGACGUAGCACGCUGCGAUAAGCCACGGGAAGCCGCGAGCAGGCUCUGAUCCGUGGAUCUCCGAAUGGGGAAACCCGGCCCUUUAGGGUCAUUCCGUCGUGAAUACAUAGCGGCGGAAAGCGAACCCGGCGAACUGAAACAUCUCAGUAGCCGGAGGAAAGGAAAUCAACCGAGACUCCCUCAGUAGUGGCGAGCGAACGGGGACCAGGCCAGUGGCCAACGCUUAAGAACCGGAACCGUCUGGAAAGUCGGACCGUAGUGGGUGAUAGUCCCGUACGGGUAGCAGCGUUGGUUCUCGAGUAGGGCGGGACACGUGAAAUCCUGUCUGAACGUGGGGGGACCACCCUCCAAGCCUAAGUACUCCUUGGUGACCGAUAGUGCACAAGUACCGUGAGGGAAAGGUGAAAAGUACCCCGAUGAGGGGAGUGAAAUAGACCUGAAACCGAAUGCCUACAAGCAGUGGGAGCCUCGUCGCCACCUUCGGGCCGCGCGCGGGGUGACCGCGUACCUUUUGUAUAAUGGGUCAGCGAGUUGGUUUCGGCAGCAAGCUUAAGCCGUUAGGUGUAGGCGCAGCGAAAGCGAGUCUUAAUAGGGCGUCUGAGUUGCCGGGAUCAGACCCGAAACCGGGUGAUCUAGCCAUGGGCAGGUUGAAGGUGCGGGUAACACCCACUGGAGGACCGAACCCGACCUACGUUGAAAAGUGCGGGGGAUGACCUGUGGCUAGGGGUGAAAGGCCAAUCAAACCCGGAGAUAGCUGGUUCUCCGCGAAAUCUAUUUAGGUAGUGCGUCGCGUGAUCACCGCCGGGGGUAGAGCACUGGAUGGGCUAGGGGGGAGCGAGUCCUUACCAAACCUAACCAAACUCCGAAUACCGAAGAGUUCAGCACGGCAGACAGACUAUGGGUGCUAAGGUCCGUAGUCGAAAGGGAAACAGCCCAGACCGCCAGCUAAGGUCCCCAAGUGGUGGCUAAGUGGGAAAGGAUGUGGGAAGGCCAAGACAACCAGGAGGUUGGCUUAGAAGCAGCCAUCCUUUAAAGAAAGCGUAACAGCUCACUGGUCUAGAUAAGCCGUCCUGCGCCGAAGAUGUACCGGGGCUCAAGCCACCCACCGAAGCUGCGGACGCGUGCUUGCACGCGUGGUAGCGGAGCGUUCCGUAAGCCUGUGAAGGAGAUACCCGCGAGGGGCUCCUGGAGGUAUCGGAAGUGAGAAUGCUGACACGAGUAGCGACAAGGAGUGUGAGAAACACUCCCGCCGAAAGUCCAAGGGUUCCUGCGCAAGGCUAAUCCGCGCAGGGUGAGCCGGCCCCUAAGGCGAGGGCGAAAGCCGUAGUCGAUGGGAACGGGGUUAAUAGUCCGGGCCUGCGGGUGGUGACGAAGCUCGUAAGCGGUCAUCGGCUCGUCGGAGUGCCGGUGGCAGUGAAGGCGUUCCAGGAAAUAGCCCCCGCACUAUAGACCGUACCCUAAACCGACACAGGUGGACUGGUAGAGUAUACCAAGGCGCUUGAGAGAACGAUGCUGAAGGAACUCGGCAAAAUGCCCCCGUAACUUCGGGAGAAGGGGGCCCCAUGCUCUGGGCAACCAGGUGUGGGGGGGCACAGACCAGGGGGUGGCGACUGUUUACUAAAAACACAGGGCUCUGCGAAGCCGCAAGGCGCACGUAUAGGGUCUGACGCCUGCCCGGUGCCGGAAGGUUAAGGAGAGGGGUGCAAGCUCUGAACCGAAGCCCCGGUAAACGGCGGCCGUAACUAUAACGGUCCUAAGGUAGCGAAAUUCCUUGUCGGGUAAGUUCCGACCUGCACGAAUGGCGUAACGACUUCCCCGCUGUCUCCAGCAUCGACUCAGCGAAACUGAAUUCCCCGUGAAGAUGCGGGGUACCCGCGGUCAGACGGAAAGACCCCGUGCACCUUUACUACAGCUUUGCAGUGGUAUUAGGACUGAUAUGUGUAGGAUAGGCGGGAGGCGAUGAAACGCGGCGCCAGCUGGGCGUGGAGCCAUCCUUGAAAUACCGCCCUUGUCCGAUUUCUGAUAUCUAACCGCGGCCCGUGAUCCGGGUCCGGGACCCUGCAUGGUGGGUAGUUUGACUGGGGCGGUCGCCUCCCAAAGAGUAACGGAGGCGCGCGAAGGUGGGCUCAAGCUGGUCGGAAAUCAGCUUCUAGAGUGCAAUGGCAUAAGCCCGCUUGACUGUGAGGUCGACGGACCGAGCAGAGACGAAAGUCGGCCAUAGUGAUCCGGUGGUCCCGCGUGGAAGGGCCAUCGCUCAUCGGACAAAAGGUACGCCGGGGAUAACAGGCUGAUCUCCCCCAAGAGUCCACAUCGACGGGGAGGUUUGGCACCUCGAUGUCGGCUCAUCACAUCCUGGGGCUGGAGCAGGUCCCAAGGGUUCGGCUGUUCGCCGAUUAAAGUGGUACGUGAGCUGGGUUUAGAACGUCGCGAGACAGUUCGGUCCCUAUCUGCCGUGGGUGUUCGAGACUUGAGAGGAGCUGUCCCUAGUACGAGAGGACCGGGAUGGACGCACCUCUGGUGGACCGGUUGUCGCGCCAGCCGCAUCGCCGGGUAGCUAAGUGCGGACAGGAUAACCGCUGAAAGCAUCUAAGCGGGAAGCCCCCCUCAAAACCAGGUCUCGCUUGAGAGCCGUGGAAGACCACCACGUCGAUAGGCCGGAUGUGGAAGUGUGGCAACACAUGAAGCUAACCGGUACUAAUCGCUCGAUUGGCUUGAUCUC
rnacentral:rRNA from 1 species